rnacentral:rRNA from 1 species
CCUACGGGAGGCAGCAGUGGGGAAUUUUGGACAAUGGGCGAAAGCCUGAUCCAGCAAUGCCGCGUGAGUGAAGAAGGCCUUCGGGUUGUAAAACUCUUUUGUCAGGGAAGAAACGGUGAGGGCUAAUAUCUCUUGCUAAUGACGGUACCUGAAGAAUAAGCACCGGCUAACUACGUGCCAGCAGCCGCGGUAAUACGUAGGGUGCAAGCGUUAAUCGGAACUACUGGGCGUAAAGCGUGCGCAGGCGGUUUUGUAAGUCUGUCGUGAAAUCCCCGGGCUCAACCUGGGAAUUGCGAUGGAGACUGCAAGGCUAGAAUCUGGCAGAGGGGGGUAGAAUUCCACGUGUAGCAGUGAAAUGCGUAGAGAUGUGGAGGAACACCGAUGGCGAAGGCAGCCCCCUGGGUCAAGAUUGACGCUCAUGCACGAAAGCGUGGGGAGCAAACAGGAUUAGAUACCCUGGUAGUCCACGCCCUAAAACGAUGUCUACUAGUUGUCGGGUUUUAAUUAACGUUGGUAACGCAGACUACGUCGUGAGUAGACCGCCGUCGGGAGGUACGGUCGCGAAGUAAGUUAAACGUUAACGAAAGUAAGUUAGUUAGGUACGUUGAGAGAGCGACGACGACGACGACGGAGGAGGAG